CCCUUGGGAAAGACGGCGGUUUGAAUUUUCUUUUCCUUGAAGUCGGGGAAACGCCCACUGGGGGAGCGAGGAAGUUACAGUAAUGAGAAAGUUCUUCUUCAGGAUGAAAAAAGAGAACUUUUUCUUUUAGUUUUGGGGCGGCGGAAUUUAAAACUCCUGAUUUAAGCUACGGUCCCAAAUAGAUUCCUCCAAAGGAGGAGUUCCCUUAUAAAUUGCUUGUUUGAGGCUACAGUCCUAGAUGAAAUUAUUUAAGAAUAAAUCCUGUUGAGCCUCCGAGGGGAUGAUCUACAGGAUUGCAAAGUAACUCCCGAGCGGCAGCACAACUGAAGCAACAUUUUUCAUUGAUCUAUCUACCAUAAGCUCAAGAUCACUUUCAUGCAGGUAUGUGGGCAGCCAUUUAUACCUCAAGCCAGUUCCUUGUUUUCAACUUUGCUUUCUGUUACUCUU